ACGGUCGGGGGGUGGUUGAACGUGGAACCCUCUGACUUUGUUUGGCUGCUUGAAAUGCCUACUACAUGGUUAAUUUGUCCUACACUGGCUCUACGUAUCAGGGUCACCCAGGAAGAUGAUCGCCAGAAAGAACAUAUGUGCCACGUUCCUCAGAGAGACAGAAUUUGAUCUGAAGGAAAUCAAGUCGAGGAGAGCAUCGAGAUGGGGAAGUGGAACUGGUGGGUUUCGCUGCGAAAUCCGAAGAACAUCUGGGAAAACCAUCCUACACACCUUCUGAAUGAAAUUGUCGUCUACCUUGUGACUCUGUUGAUUCUGAAGCACGUGGUCCGAAAUGGAGGAAGAUGGAAGUAUAUAUGGCUCGCCACCAUCUUCAUGGGAUUACAAUGGAGGUGAUCUCCUACUUUGUCCCCGAUUUGGAUAAUUUCUGGCACGCUCAGAGCUCGGUGAUGCUCCUCGGUAAGUCAAGCCAUAAAUAUAUUGUGCUCCAAA